rnacentral:rRNA from 1 species
AAAGUUCUAAUAUGCCCCUGAUUUAAAUUAAAGGGCUGCAGUAUAUUGACUGUACAAAGGUAGCAUAAUCAUUAGUUUUUUAAUUGAAAACUUGUAUGAAGGAUUUGAUGAAAUAUAAACUGUCUCUUAUUUAAAAUUAAAAAUUUAUUUUUUAGUUAAAAAGCUAAAAUAAUUUUAAAAGACGAGAAGACCCUAUAGAGUUUUAUAUUAAAUUAUUUUAUAAUUAUUUAUAUAAUUAAAAAUUAAAAAUGAAUUUAAUAUUUUAUUGGGGUGAUAGAAAAAUUAAAAAAACUUUUUUUAAAUUAUUAACAUAGAUAUAUGAAUAAAUGAUCCAUAAUUAAUGAUUAUAAGAAAAAAUUACCUUAGGGAUAACAGCGUAAUAUUUUUUUUUAGUUCAUAUAAAAAAAAAAGUUUGCGACCUCGAUGUUGGAUUAAGAUAAAAUUUAAAUGCAAAAGUUUAAAAGUUUUGAUCUGUUCGAUCAUUAAAAUCUUACAUGAUCUGAGUUCAAACCGGG